GACGAACGCUGGCGGCGUGCCUAACACAUGCAAGUCGAGCGAUGAAGUUUCCUUCGGGAAACGGAUUAGCGGCGGACGGGUGAGUAACACGUGGGUAACCUGCCUCAUAGAGGGGAAUAGCCUCCCGAAAGGGAGAUUAAUACCACAUAAUAUUACAGUUUCGCAUGAAACAGUAAUUAAAGGAGCAAUCCGCUAUGAGAUGGACCCGCGGCGCAUUAGCUAGUUGGUGAGGUAACGGCUCACCAAGGCGACGAUGCGUAGCCGACCUGAGAGGGUGAUCGGCCACAUUGGGACUGAGACACGGACCAGACUCCUACGGGAGGCAGCAGUGGGGAAUAUUGCACAAUGGGGGAAACCCUGAUGCAGCAACGCCGCGUGAGUGAUGACGGUCUUCGGAUUGUAAAGCUCUGUCUUUGGGGACGAUAAUGACGGUACCCAAGGAGGAAGCCACGGCUAACUAUGUGCCAGCAGCCGCGGUAAGAC
rnacentral:rRNA from 1 species